ACAGCUGGGAGCCCAAUGAGGGCGCGCGGUGGGCCGGGCGCCGCGCAUGCGCAGAGGCGUUAUGCUAAUGUUGUUGAUAUUCCGGCGCAGGGAGUUGGGUUUCUUUCUCUGGCUGAGUGAGAGGCUGAACUUUCCAGGCCGCCUCCUGCCCCGCCGGGCCCGGCCCCUCACAGGGGGAGGCGGCAGGCGGAGGGGGCCGAGCCGAGGGGAGGGGGCAGAGGCAGCGGGCGUUCUCCUGCCCAUGAGGGCCUGAUGGAAAACACAAAGGACCUGGCUUUUGAUACCUUCUGCAAACUACUACUGCAUACCUUCAUUUCUCAGACAGAACAUACUUCACGAGCAGAAAGGAAAAGACGUGAUUCAUUCGGGAUGUUUGACGGUUAUGAUAGUUGUAGUGAGGACACCAGCAGCAGCUCCAGUUCAGACGAGAGUGAAGAGGAGGUUGCUCCUUUGCCGUCCAGUCUCCCAAUUAUAAAGAACAAUGGACAGGUCUAUACUUACCCAGAUGGCAAAUCUGGCAUGGCUACAUGCGAGAUGUGUGGAAUGGUUGGUGUCCGUGACGCUUUUUACUCUAAAACAAAACGCUUCUGCAGUGUGUCAUGCUCUAGAAGCUAUUCAUCAAACUCCAAGAAGGCCAGCAUUCUGGCCAGACUUCAGGUAGCGGGUAAACCUCCAACAAAGAAGGCUAAAGUUCUACAAAAACAACCCCUAGUGGCUAAAUUAGCAGCAUAUGCUCAAUACCAAGCAACUUUACAAAACCAGGCAAAGACUAAAGCAGCAGCUGUCCCUGUGGAAGGUUUCAGCUGGGGUAACUACAUCAAUAGCAAUAGCUUUGCAGCAGCUCCUGUUACCUGUUUUAAACACGCACCUAUGGGGACAUGCUGGGGUGAUAUCUCAGAAGGAGUGCGAGUGGAGGUUCCAAACACGGACUGCAGCCUACCUACCAAAGUCUUCUGGAUAGCUGGAAUUGUAAAAUUAGCAGGCUACAAUGCUCUGCUAAGAUAUGAAGGCUUUGAAAAUGAUUCAAGUCUUGACUUCUGGUGCAACGUUUGUGGGUCUGACAUCCACCCAGUUGGUUGGUGUGCAACCAGUGGGAAGCCCCUAGUCCCUCCUCGAACCAUCCAACACAAAUACACAAACUGGAAAGCUUUUCUAGUGAAACGACUUACUGGUGCCAAAACACUUCCUCCUGACUUUUCUCAGAAGGUGUCUGAGAGUAUGCAGUAUCCAUUCAAAACUUCCAUGAGAGUAGAAGUUGUUGACAAAACACACCUUUGUCGAACAAGGGUAGCAGUUGUAGAAAGUGUCAUUGGGGGCCGGUUAAGAUUGGUGUAUGAAGAAAGUGAAGACAAAACUGAUGACUUCUGGUGCCAUAUGUACAGUCCACUCAUUCAUCAUAUUGGUUGGUCUCGAAGUAUAGGACACAGAUUCAAAAGAUCUGAUAUUACAAAGAAACAGGAUGGACAUUUUGAUGCACCCCCACAUUUAUUUACGAAGGCAAAAGAGGUUGAUGCAGCUGGAGAAUGGUUUAAAGAAGGAAUGAAAUUGGAAGCUAUAGACCCCUUAAACCUUUCGGCAAUAUGCGUGGCAACUAUUAGAAAGGUUUUAGCAGAUGGCUAUCUUAUGAUUGGGAUUGAUGGCUCAGAAGCAGCAGAUGGGUCUGAUUGGUUUUGUUACCAUGCCACUUCCCCUUCUAUUUUCCCUGUUGGUUUCUGUGAAAUUAACAUGAUUGAACUAACUCCACCCAGAGGUUAUGCAAAACUCCCUUUUAAAUGGUUUGACUACCUCAGGGAAACUGACUCAAUAGCAGCACCUGUAAAGCUCUUCAAUAAGGAAGUUCCAAACCAUGGGUUUCAUGUUGGAAUGAAACUGGAAGCUGUUGAUCUGAUGGAACCUCGCCUGGUAUGUGUGGCCACAGUAACUCGCAUUAUCCAUCGUCUUUUGAGGAUACACUUUGAUGGGUGGGAAGAUGAAUAUGAUCAGUGGGUGGAUUGCGAGUCCCCAGACCUCUAUCCAGUGGGAUGGUGUCAGCUAACUGGAUAUCAACUACAGCCUCCAGCGCCUCAAUCAUCAAGAGAUAGCCAGUCAAGUUCAUCAAAACAGAAGAAAAAAGCUAAAUCACAACAGUACAAAGGACAUAAGAAAAUGACUUCAUUGCAGCUGAAGGAGGAGUUGCUAGAUGGAGAAGAGUAUAGCUUCCUUCAAGGAGCAUCUGAUCAGGAAAGCAACGGAUCUGCCAGUUACUACAUCAAACAAGAACCAUAAGGCAGCUCAGAAAAGUGAGGGGCAGAGUAUUGGUGAUAGGAAAAGAGCCUUUCUCCAAGACUGACUGAUUUUGUUCCCACUUCGAUGGUACAGUUCAGGUGACUGUACCUGGGGCACUUUGCUAACUGUAGAUGAGUUAGACUCAGUUCAGAAUUUUUUGGAAGGGCGGGGAAACUAUUUUAGUGAAAAAGAUUUUUCAAUUUAUUAAAAACAAAAAAGGACACUUUUGUGUUGUAUUUGAAGCUUUUGAAAGAAUUUUGUAAUAUUUUCAAGUUCAGAUUUAUUGUGCAUUGUUAACAAGAACUGAAAUUCUAAUUUUUUGGUAAGAUUAAAGUUUAAUUAGCAUGAUUGUGGGAAGCGGUUGGAGGAAGAUAUAGUUGCAAAUACAAAUGAACUGUCAUAACAAAUGAACCUUUUUGGUACAAGUUGGGAGACUUCUAGACUCUUGUGAACUGCACUGGUCACGCCUCUGGUUGUUUUUUUUUUAUUGUGAAAAUAAGGCAUUUAAGCCCUAAUUUAGAGGCAUAAAUUGUAUGUGGAAGAUAAUCCUGUAAAGCUCUACUCAGUGAGUAGCCCCAGUUGCAAUGGAGCCAUCACCUGAGGAAGAUUUUAACUUCUCAAGAUGUUUUUAUUUAGUUUAAAAUACUUUUUUUUUUAUAUAUAAGAAUUUUUUUUUUUUUAAAUAAAAGGUUCCUUAGGGUCUGAUUCAGUGCCCAUUAAUAUCAGUAGCCUUGUCUCCAUUGACUGCAGUAGGCAUUGGAUUGGGACCAUAAAGCUUUUGUCUGUUCAUGACUGUCUGUAGUCUUGGAAUGCUUCAGCAAAUGUUUACAGAGCCCUAUGCCAAACUGGAACUUCAGAAAAUUCCCUCAUUUGGAAGAUUAGUUUUAGCUAUGAAUUUAGACUGAAGAAGAAACAGAUGGACAGUAACUCUCACCUCCUUUGGUAGUGGGAAGGAACUUCUGAGCAUUUUUCUGAUUUUUUUUUUUUUUUUUUUUUUUUUUAUUCAGAAAGACCUGGGUGUUUCUUUACUACCUUAAAUAUUUAUUUGUGAACAUUCAAAACUGAUGUUCCACAUGGUUUCAGCCUGGAUUGGAGAAGCAGGAUUAGAGACCAUUGUAAUGACACUUCGAGCCUUGAAAUUUUUUUUUUUUUUUUUUUUUUUUUUCCUUCUCCUGUGUUCUCAAUUUAACCUGCUGUAAAAUCCAGCUCUGCAAGCAUUGAUUUGGUUUGGUAAGUACAUCACUAUUGAUUUUUUAUUUUAUUUUAUUUUUUUAAAUGCAACAACUUGCAGAUUGUCCCAGUCAGCUGGAACAAGGUUGGCACAAUCUUGCUUUGUUCUCUCAUCAAUAGCUUCUGACUUCAGUAGAAAAACUGUUGCAUUAAUUUGUGUUUCAUGAUGUGAAAGCUUGGGCUAGUAAUGAGCAAGGUAUAUUGCCCAGUCACUAAACCUUGGCCUUCUGCGUAUUGCCCAGGCUUAUACCUGAUUUCUGAGUUACAGUCUUCAAAUGUCAAGAGGGGAAAUUAGCACUUAAGUUGAACAUACUUCCUGUGUUGGAAAAAUGUAAGAAUCGGAUUUGAAGUCUGUCAGUCUUUAUAAUGUUCUUUAAAAAUAGGUAUUUUAUUCGUUUAACACUAAAGUAUGUGAGUGCAUUCUCAGAUACACAUGUGACUUCAGUAGGAGUUGGGUGAAUUUUCUCUUUGUGUUUCUGAAUUCAAAAUAUACCUAAAUUGUGUGUUUGUCAAGUACAGUGAAAUAUAUCCUAAGCAAACCACAUAAGGAACUAACUGAAGUCACUUGCUUAGGAGAGGUUUAAAGAAAACGUGCGCAAAAUUCUACCAGGUAUUUAGAGCGGUCUCUUCAACGAGUGGGCUACCUGUUGGCUGUGGUAUCCAUAGUAUAGGCUUCACUGUAUUUGUAAAGCAUUUGUUAGUAACAUGGCUCUAGGUAGUUUUAUCUUCACUUUACUCUAAGCCAUGUUAUUUGGCUAAAAGAGCAGCAAAGUGUUGGACAUCUGAAAUCUUCAAUGGGGUCAAACUAAUUUCAGUAUUUGGCAUAGCAGGUUUUUAUAACCAUAAGGUAGCGCAAGUUAUGUACCUUACUUUGCAGCUACCCUUCUUCUCUUGCUCAAAAUCUUUCUGCUGACCUUUGAUUUUUAUGUUAUUUUAAAUACAACUCUUUAACCUUUUCCUUGCUGCAUCUGAGGAAAGCUAAAGCAGUUAUCAAUUCCUUGUUCUACGGAUACUAACACGGGUUUCAGUGUUUGUUUGUUUUUUUUAUUGUUGUUUUAUGUGAUGUGAAUACCCUCUCCCGUCAAUAUUUGUAUGAUGGUGCUAAUAUAUUUGGUAACAAUCCUUUAUUGGGAAGGGAUUUUAAAAAACUGUGAUUUCAACUGAAUUUUUCUUCCUUUAAUUUUCAUAUUUAAAACAAAAAGCCACAGCCAUUUUUACAAAAAAGGCAUCAGCUUUGGCCCCUGGGAAAAUGUUGGGGCGGGAAUCAAGAUUAAACAAAUAGGGUUUUUACAUCAUUUCUGUAUGUAUUUGAUAUAUAGAUCAAUAUCUGUACAAAUUUAAUCUUUUAUUUUCUUGGUAAUUUGUGUGGUCAAUGAGAGAGAGCAUUUAAAGCUUUCUCAUGCAAUGUACAUAACUAAGUGAAAAAAAUGCUUUUGGAGAAAUUAAUGUUACUUUCAUUUUUACGAGACUGCAGAUUUUCAGCAUGGAUGUGAAAAGCAUUAAAAUUAUAACUUUGUGUACAAGAUGAAAAUAAUUCACUAAAUUUGCCUUUUUUACACAAAAUAAAAAUGAUAAAAAGUC